rnacentral:rRNA from 1 species
GACGAACGCUGGCGGCGUGCUUAACACAUGCAAGUCGAACGGAAAGGCCCUGCUUGCAGGGUCCUCGAGUGGCGAACGGGUGAGUAACACGUGGGUGAUCUGCCCUGCACUUCGGGAUAAGCUUGGGAAACUGGGUCUAAUACCGGAUAGGAGCCAUCUUUAGUGUGGUGGUUGGAAAGUUUUUUCGGUGUAGGAUGAGCUCGCGGCCUAUCAGCUUGUUGGUGGGGUAAUGGCCUACCAAGGCGGCGACGGGUAGCCGGCCUGAGAGGGUGUACGGCCACAUUGGGACUGAGAUACGGCCCAGACUCCUACGGGAGGCAGCAGUGGGGAAUAUUGCACAAUGGGCGCAAGCCUGAGGCAGCGACGCCGCGUGGGGGAUGAAGGCCUUCGGGUUGUAAACUCCUUUCGCUAGGGACGAAGCUUUUUUGUGACGGUACCUAGAUAAGAAGCACCGGCUAACUACGUG